rnacentral:rRNA from 1 species
GACGAGGGAUCCUAGCGUUGUUCGGAAUCACUAGGCGUAAAGCGUUUGUAGGCGGCUCCGUAAGUCGGGUGUGAAAUCCCACGGCUCAACCGUGGAAGUGCAUUCGAAACUGCAGAGCUUGAAUAUGGUAGAGGAGAGUAGAAUACCUGGUGUAGUGGUGAAAUACGUAGAUAUCAGGUGGAAUACCGGUGGCGAAGGCGACUCUCUGGACCAAUAUUGACGCUGAGAAACGAAAGUGCGGGGAUCAAACAGG